AUGAAGCACUUGGACUCAGGUCAGUCAGAUUUCCUGGAUAGGCAUGUGCAGUCCAAGAGGCUGGAAACCGCUUUCUCCCCUCCUUUCCCUGACCACACGGUAGAACAUCAUCUACCAGCUCCAGGUCGGGGGAGGCCAGGGGGACUUCAUUGCUUUGUACUACUGUUGUUUCCCAGAACAUGUCUUCCUGCGUCCUCAGCCAACACGGCACUGGGACAUCAAGGCGGUCAGAGGCCGACAUCCUCUCUCACCGCCCCCCCCACCUCCCGCCCCGCCAAGAGCUCCGUCCCAGCUUUCCCACCGCCUCCCUCAGCGGGAGCCACUGCUGCCUUUGUCCUCACCCCGGUGUCCCCCAGCCCCGCACGCCGGCACUGGCAGAGAGGAGAACCGUCCGCACGCCCUCGAGAGGGACUUUUGCUUCGCAAAGGCCAUCAGGGCACCGGGGCGAGCCGGGGGUCUGCCCUGCAGCUCAGCCUCCGUCCGGCGAGGGUCCCGAAUCCCCGUACUUGCCCUCCCCACCGUUCCAAGACCCGGCGGUCAGUAGCCCGCAAAACCCAAAAGUCCUUGGGAGCGGGGGGCUUCCCCGCUCUUUCCUCUUUGAUUUUGGUGGGCUCUGCCAGCCUAAACGUGUCCACCUCGGGCAGCGCUCGGAGCGCGGGGAGGGGGGAGGUAGAAAGUCGGUGGGAGGAAGUUAUGGACCAGCAGACCCCUAGGGAGGAGCCCCCCGCCCCCUACUCCCCGUCGCUGCCCUCCGGCGCCGGGGUUCCUCUGGCCGCCGUGGCCUCCUCCCCAGCUCUCUCCCGCGUGGGUGGCCCCGGGUGGGCGCCCCGGCACCCUCGCUGCCCGCCGGGCACGGAGCUCCCCGCGGGACCGGCGCAGCGGGGGACCGGCCGCCGCCAAAGGACGGGGGGAGAGCGCAGGGUAUCGUUUCCAAGCUACCUCCGCGAAAAUACAUUUAUUUAUUCAUUUAUUAUUAUUUUAUUUUAUUAUUCUUUGUUUUAUCUUUACCUUAUUUCAUUUUAUCCCCUUCUAUUUUACAUUUUUUUUUCUUUCUUUCUUUAA
rnacentral:lncRNA from 1 species